rnacentral:lncRNA from 1 species
GAAGGAUCUUCCACUUAAGGUGUCUGACCAAGCUAGCUCAGUCAGUUAACAGGGUUACAAGGGAGGGAGGGAGAAUUGAAAAGGAAGAAAAACAAUUAGGCAAAAUUAUAACAUGACCCCGCCAGAACCGAGACUGAAACAGCUUUAUUUUUCUCCAGUCUGCUUUUAUAUCAUUCUAGGUAUAUCCAAGAAACAUGGUCAGUUCUUAGAUCAAAGACAAAGCCAUCAAGUGAAGUAGUAGUAAACAAGGAGAUCACACAAGAGAGUAAUCAAGCAGAGUAGUAAGCCAAGAGAUGACACAAGGUGACAAGUAAAGUAGUAAGGCAAGAGACCACACAGGGAAUAAUUCAGCAAAGCAGUAAGCAAAGCCCCACGAUCACUGUUUCUAAUAUUCUUACUGAGCCUACAUCCUUGUCUGAGUCCAGUGACAAAUGCCAAAUUCCUAGAAGCAGCACCAAAAGCUCUCAGCAGGUGUCAGUAUCCCUAAGCAACUAUGGCUGGUCUGAAUAAGAGUGAGCAUGAGACAGUGAGCAAGGACUAGAGAUGACCAGGAAACAACGUCUCUUCUGGGUUUUGCCUUCAGUUUCUACCUUGAAUUUAUAUCCUAAGUUUCCACAACGGUGGAUUGUGAUCUGGCAGUAUCAGCCCCGCCCCCCCCCCCCAAAAAAAAAACCUAUUCAUUACCUGAGUUGCUUUGGGGUAGAGGAUUUAAUCAUAGGAACAGAGAAGCAACAUAGAACAAAAACCCCUACCUCAUAAGUGAUUUUGUUGCUGUGAAGUACAGUGAUUUGGAGGAAUGUGGAAGAUAUUACUACUUUAGAAGGCAAAAGCUAUCAGAAUCUGUGUGCAGAGGUUAAUCCGUUAUGCUGGUAUACCUAGGAAAAGGGAGUUUCUAGAGUAGUACAGAGAGUGGAGGUUGAUGUCAUAGGAUUUCAGUGGCAAAUAGGGUCCAUGAAAAAUUAAACUACAGGUUUUUGUGUGAUGUUUGCCUUCAAACUCUUUCUUAUUGUGCCCAUGCACUGUAGAAAUGAGUUUGAUGGAAAAAAAGAGACUGAUUUCUUAGAUAAAAUAUUUAUUUUAGUGUAUAGUUGUUACUGAUGACUCAUGCAUGUUUGCAACAAAAAGUAACACAAGUGGUGUGUAAAGAUAGAACAAGUCUGUGAUUUGUACAGAAAAACACCGCAAAGUAGUUUCAGAUGGCAUUCAAAUGCUAAAACAAAGGCAGGAAUAUUCAAGGAAAAUAGCACCAUUAAAUUUCCAUUGAAUUGGAAGCUUAGUAAUAGUAUCCUAAUGGUAAGACUCUCUUCAGCUAAACAUUUAUGAAAGGAACAGGCAAAGUGAUUCCUAGUCCCAAGAAUCAACUUCAUUCAGAACCUGCUCCAACUGUGGUCCAAGUGUGGCAGGGUCCAUCCCAAUCUCGAAGCCCAACUUGACAGGAUCACCUCUGUUGUCCUGGUUCUGGAAACAAGAAAGUUGCAAAGUUUAAAGGUCAUGAAUUUUUCCUCUGUGGUUUCAGUUCAGCCCUGUUGUACUCAACUAUGUUUGGCAGAAUCAGAGCCUCAGUGAGAAGAGUGUAAGCUCAAUGCAUGAAGCGGUGAAUAUGAUGCCUGGUUUGCAUCUUGAGACCACAAGAUCUUGAGAUACCUGAGCUAUAAGAUAUAUGACAUAGUGAGUGGAAGGAGCAAGGUGGAGGGGGACAAAGGGAGAGGUGGAGAGACAGAGGCGGGGAGAGAGGGAGAGAGAGAGAGGCAUGCAAACAGAUUCAGAGGUGACAGAGAUGACAAGUUUCAGGGAUAGAGACAUGUAAACCUUUUAAAACUUUAGCCCAUGUGUCUGAGGCAGAGCUCUAGGAUUUGGGGUUUGCCUUGCUGGGUUUCGGUCUUGCCUUUGUCAAAUCUUUCUUCUAUUUUCAAAUGGGAAUGUGUAGUAUGUUGUUGUAUUUUCAAAAUAUAUAACUGGUUUCCUAAUUUUAGAAGAUGUCAUAGUCAAAAAAUUCUGUCUGUCUGUCUAUCAGAAGAGACUGAACAUUUGGUUGGGGUUCUUAUUAGGAUCCUUGAAGUUUAACACGUGUAUGUUUUGAUGAUCAAAAGCACAUAGUAACCUGGAUCAGUAGUAGUAUAUUCAAUGAAAAACCUCCCAGAUAGAAUAAUGUAUUUGAACACUUGUCUCUCAUUGGUUGUUGUCUUUGGAGUGCAUAUGGAGUCUUGAGUAGGCAGAGCCUUGCGGGUGGAAGUUCCCUGUUGGGGUUGAGAUUAGAAUGUCUAUAGCCUUUCCCCAUUAUCAAUUCAUUGUGCCUACAUUCUUAUAGUUGAAUCUGAUUAGCCAGCUUUUACCACAUAGUGCUAUACCUUUAACAUGCACUGUAUUGCUAAAUAACAUAAGAUAGAGAAGAAGUAUUGGCUUUUCAUUGAUAAGCCAUUUGCUAGCCAGAUAUAUAUAAUUUUAUUAUUUUCGGUUUAGUUUUUGAGGACAAGUUUUCUCCGUGUUGCUUUGGCUGUCCUGACAUUAGCUCUUGAGAUUCAGUUCAUCUUGAUCUGUCUGAUUCCUCCUCUCAUGUUCUGGGAUUAAAGGUAAGGUCCAUCCAAUAUAACUGACUUUCUGUUUUUGUAUUAUUGGCUGAUAGCCCUGGAGUGGAGGUUUUUGUAGGUGUCAAGCAUAUGCUAUUGUGUUGAGCUUCAUCUACAUCUUAAAAUUUGAACUUGGACAGAGGGUAUAUUCUCUCUCACAGAGUGAUAUAUUUGUGGUAUUAAUAUCAUCUGAGCCUCCUAAGUCAUUGGAUUGAAGGUGCAUGACAUUUUUCUUACCUUUUAUGUGUUUUGAUUGUAUUAAUGAGUAUGAGUGUUUGGCUUGUAUGCAUAGACACAACAUGUUGUGUGUCUGGCAUUUACAGUACUCAGAAGACGGCCUCAUAACCUCUGACCUUGGAGUAUUGAUAUCUGUGAGCCCAAUAUAAAUACUGACAAUUGAACUGAUUUCCUUUAUAAGACCAGCAAGUAAUCUUAACUCCUGAGCCAUCUAUCUUGCUCAGUUUUUUUUUAUGUAUGAUCUAAGUAUACAGUGCUUAAAAUUUCAUCAUCCAUCCAUAUCUGUGCAUUCUCCUUUACUAAGAUCUUAAUAAUCUCAUAGUUUGAGUUGUGACACUUCACAUUUCUGUGAAAUGAAUAGUGAGACCUUCAGAGUUUUUGUAUCUCUUGUUUGUUUAUUUUGUUGGGCUUUUUUGCCAGGGAAAGAGUCUGACCAAGAGAUCUUGGAUCUCAUUCUAUAGAUCAGGCCUUCCACUCAGUGAGAUCCAUCUGUCUCUGCUUUCUGAGUACUAUAGUUAAAUGCAUGAGACAGGCCUGCUUGCCCAUUUUCUUUUGUACUUAUUAAUCAUUCAUGCAAUUUCUCUAAAAUGUACUCAGUAUUACUAAUCUCUUUGUUUAAUGACAGGGGUGAAGCUUCUCUUCAGUUUCCUUCUAAAAUGACUUGGUGAUUACAGUAGAAUGUCCAUGUCAUAGAUUGAGUGUGAAAAACACCAUAAUUAGAUCAAUAUGUUGUUAAAGCAGUAUAUAAUUAUGUUAAUUAGUAUACAAUUAAUGUUUUCAGUAUUAUGCUUUCUGUUGUACAUGUGUGGGAUAUUUUAGGAUGCAGUGACCUAUGAUGAUGUGCACAUAAACUUCACUCAGGAAGAAUGGGUCUUGUUGGAUCUUUCUCAAAAGAGGCUCUACAAAGAUGUUAUCCUGGAGACCUACAGGAACCUCACUGCUAUAGGAGAGAAA